UACAGAGGUCUCAAGCGUUGUUCGGAUUCAUUGGGCGUAAAGGGUGCGUAGGCGGCGCGGUAAGUCACUUGUGAAAUCUCUGAGCUUAACUCAGAGCGGCCAAGUGAUACUGCAGUGCUAGAGUGUGGAAGGGGCAAUCGGAAUUCUUGGUGUAGCGGUGAAAUGCGUAGAUAUCAAGAGGAACACCUGAGGUGAAGACGGGUUGCUGGGCCAACACGUGACGCUGAGGCGCGAAAGCCAGGGGAGCAAACGGG
rnacentral:rRNA from 1 species